rnacentral:rRNA from 1 species
AUUGAACGCUGGCGGCAUGCCUUACACAUGCAAGUCGAACGGUAACAGGUUAAGCUGACGAGUGGCGAACGGGUGAGUAAUGUAUCGGAACGUGCCCAGUCGUGGGGGAUAACUACUCGAAAGAGUGGCUAAUACCGCAUACGACCUGAGGGUGAAAGCGGGGGACCGUAAGGCCUCGCGCGAUUGGAGCGGCCGAUAUCAGAUUAGCUAGUUGGUGGGGUAAAAGCCCACCAAGGCGACGAUCUGGAGCUGGUCUGAGAGGACGACCAGCCAGACUGGGACGGAGACACGGCCCAGACUCCUACGGGAGGCAGCAGUGGGGAAUUUUGGACAAGGGACGCAAGUCUGAUCCAGCCAUGCCGCGUGCGGGAAGAAGGCCUUCGGGUUGUAAACCGCUUUUGUCAGGGAAGAAACGAGUUUCUCUAAUACAGAGACUUAAUGACGGUACCUGAAGAAUAAGCACCGGCUAACUACGUGCCAGCCGCCGCAGUAAAAC